rnacentral:rRNA from 1 species
GGAUAAGAAUCUUCCGCAAUGGACGCAAGUCUGACGGAGCGACACCGCGUGAUCGAUGAAGAGCUUCGGUUUGUAAAGAUCUUUUAUGAGGGAAGAAGUAUAUUGACGGUACCUCAUGAAUAAGCACCUGCCAAACUCGUGCCAGCAGCAGCGGUAAUACGAGUGGUGCAAGCGUUAUCCGGAAUUAUUGGGCGUAAAGGAUGUGUAGGUGGCAAUGUUAGUCGAGUGUUUAACCCAUGGGCUCAACCUG